rnacentral:siRNA from 1 species
UACUUUAGUUGCCAUUACGACAAA